UAUAAAAUAAAAAGAACCACAUAAGCAUGUUCCCAUAUAGAUCACAGUGACCCGUUCGUUCGCGUAUCAGUAUUUCGACCCAAAUCUCCAACAUCAAACUUGGCCGUCAGACGGAGGAGAACAGUUAGGGUUGAUGGCUGAUCGGAGUUUAGCCGUUGUGAAGCCGGUUUGGAUGAAGCAAGCCGAAGAAGCGAAGCUGAAGAGCGAAGCAGAGAAAGAUGCGGCUGCCAAAGCUGCUUUUGAAGCCACGUUUAAGGGUUUGGUGAAAAGUCACGAGAAGAGGGCUGCUAAUUCGGACAGUGAUUCGGAUGAAUACGAGGAUUUGGCCCAUAAGCCCCUUGGGCCUGUGGAUCCUUCCAAGUGCACUGCUGCUGGCACUGGAAUUGCCGGAGGAACGGCCUGUGCUCCGUCUUCGUUCUCUGUGGUGACUAAGGAUGCUGAUGAGAGGAGGGUUUCAAUUGGGGGUGCACAAAUUAAGGUGAAAGUGACGCCAGGUUUGGGUGUUGGAGGGUCUGAUCAAGAAGGGAUUGUCAAGGAUAUGGGUGAUGGAACUUACACUGUUACUUAUGUGGUGCCUAAGCGAGGGAACUAUAUGGUUAAUGUUGAAUGUAAUGGCAGGCCAAUCAUGGGUAGUCCAUUCCCUGUCUUUUUCAGUGCAGGUAAUGGUAAUGGAGGGCUUUUGGGUUUAGCUCCUCCAUCUUCAUUUCCAAAUCUGGUUAAUCAAACUAUGCCCAACAUGCCAAAUUACUCUGGCUCCGUUUCAGGGGCAUUCCCAGGAUUGUUGGGAAUGAUUCCAGGGAUUGUUGCUGGAGCUUCUGGGGGGGCUAUUUUGCCAGGAAUUGGGGCUUCACUCGGGGAAGUUUGUCGCGAUUACCUUAAUGGGCGCUGUGCUAAAGUUGAUUGUAAGUUGAAUCACCCACCUCAUAAUUUGCUGAUGACUGCCUUAGCUGCAACAACUUCAAUGGGAACACUUAGCCAGGCUCCUAUGGCACCUUCUGCUGCUGCAAUGGCAGCUGCCCAGGCAAUAGUUGCGGCCAAAGCCCUUCAAGCUCAUGCAGCUCAAGUGCAAGCUCAGUCAGCAAAAGAUUCUACCGGUUCACCUGACAAAGCUAAUAAGGAGGAUGUGUUGAAGAAAACUCUUCAAGUUAGCAAUCUUAGCCCACUUCUCACUGUGGAACAGCUAAAACAACUCUUUGGUUUCUGUGGCACUGUUGUUGAAUGCACAAUCACUGAUUCAAAGCAUUUUGCUUAUAUAGAAUACUCAAAACCCGAAGAGGCAACUGCGGCAAUGGCUUUAAACAACAUUGAUGUUGGGGGGCGUCCUUUGAAUGUUGAAAUGGCAAAAUCACUUCCGCCGAAAUCAGCUAUGAAUUCUUCACUUGCUUCAUCCUCCCUCCCUUUGAUGAUGCAGCAAGCUGUUGCCAUGCAACAAAUGCAAUUCCAGCAAGCGCUGCUUAUGCAACAAACUAUGACUGCACAGCAGGCUGCUAACCGAGCUGCAACCAUGAAAUCUGCCACAGAUUUAGCAGCAGCACGAGCUGCAGAAAUUAGUAAGAAAUUGAAUCCCGAUGGACUUGAAAUCGAAGAGAAAGAGACGAAACAGAAGUCCAGAUCACCUUCUCCCCCUCCCGAAAGAUCACGAUCAAAGUCAAGAUCUCCUAUCAAUUAUCGGAGGAGGAGGAAGUCUCGUUCCUUCUCACCUGCUCGUCAAUCUAAGGAUCACCGGUCCAGGUCACCAUUGAGGUUCCAUCAUCAUUCAAGGUAUGAAAGGGAAUGGAGAUCCUAUAGAGAGAGCAGGGAACAUAGUGAUAGGUUCAGAAGACGAGAUUCAGAUAGAUUUAUUGAUCAUUCAUCUGGUUCGAGAAGAAACAGAAGUAGGAGUGUUAGCCCUCAUGCAAGGAGAUCACCUGUUUCUCCUAAACGUCACACAGGAAGUUCGUCUCAUAGAGGAAGGAAACAGUCUCGUGCUGAUUCUGGCUCUCCAAGUCAUUGCAGAGGAAGUAGGUCUUCUCCAAAGAUUGAUGAAAAGAAAAUAAGAAACAGAAGGCGCUCAAGGUCUAGAUCUUCAGAUGAAAAGCUUAACCUUUUUGACAAAAAUGACGAAAUCUUGCCUGAAAAGGCGAAACAUAGAGAGCGAAGGCGGUCGAGGUCAGUGCCUGUGGACGAGAAGCCUCACAGGAACCAAUCAUCCCCAAGAAAAGUAGAUGAAAGCAGACCUAGGCACAGGAAGCGGUCCAGGUCAAAAUCUGUGGACGAUAAGCAUCACUUGUCUGACAGAUUGGAUGAAAACAGAAAUAGAAGGUCAAUAUCUUCAGAUGAUAAGCUUAACCCCUCCGACAAAAACGAAGAAAUCGUACAUGAAAAAUCUAAACAUAGAGAGCGAAGGCGGUCCAGGUCCUUAUCUGUUGACGAUAAGCCUCCGAGGAGGCGAUCGUCCCCAAGAAAAGUGGAUGAAAGCAGAUCCAGGCACAAGAAGCGAUCCAGGUCAAGAUCUGUGGACGAUAAGCGUCACUUGUCUGCGAAAUUGGAUGAAAACAGAAAUAGAAGAUCAAGGCAUAGUGAUAAAAGGCGCUCCAGAUCGAGAUCUAUGGAAAAUAGGGACCGGGCUUAUGUCAGAGAGGAUGGAAGCAAACAUGAAAAGUCAAAAAAUCACGAUACAAAAUAUAACAGGUCAGAAUCUGAUGAAGGGAAGCAUCACUCUAAAGGUAAAUCAGGUGAAAAUAGAGAUAAGAAAUCAAAGCAUCGCGAUAGAAGGCAUUCAAGGUCAAUAUCAUCAGAAGGUAAGCAUGACAAAGGAGGCACUUCAGCUCAUAGAGAAGAGAGAGAUUUUGAACACAAAAGAUUCAGGUCGAAGUCUCCUAACGCCAAGCACCACGGCAAUGAUAAAUAUGGUAAUAAAGAUGAAAGAUCAGAGCAUCAAGAGAAAACCUUGUUUAAAUCAAAAACAGAAAAUCAUCAGCAAGAUGAAGGGAGUGGGCACUCCCCAAGAAAUUUCAAGGAGUGUGAAUCAAAAGGAAAAACAAAAUCUGGUUCUAGAUCUGCAGAAUUUAAGCAUCAUUUGACCGAUGGAGAAAGUGAUCCCAGUGAAGAAAAUUCAAAACAUCUUGAAAAUGGCAUACAAGAACCAAUUUUAAAUGCGAAGGACUUAACAAACCUGAAUGAUAAUGGGAUAUUAAUUCGUGAGAGUGAAAACCCGAAUUCAGAUGGGUCAACUGGAAAUGCAGGAGCUGAUGAUAACCCAGGGUGGAGAUGUGUGGAAGAAGUUGGAAGUCGGAAAUAUUAAGCAUGCUUGCCUUGGAGUGGUGGAUCUCAACGAUUUUACCUGGCUUUUGACAAUGCUAACAACAUAGCUAUAAGUAUAGAUUUUUGUUAUUUCAUCUCAAAUGGAGGAGUACGUAAAAGAGGACACUGAAAGUCCCUUGCUUAUAAAUGCUGAUCAGAGAAGCUGUUAAUGGAGACAGAUAUGAUUUAUCAUCUAUAGAGCAUAAUAUUGUCGGAUAAAGCACUACACAGAUCAUGGUGUUGUCUAUGGUUGAAGAUUUAUGCACCUGUUAAUGAUUAUGGGAUGACAGCAUAUUCUAACUAAGGAUGCAACAGAUCUACCGUUCCUCUUAGGAGAAGUGUCAUUCUCAGAGGAUGCUUCCAGUAUUUGAUUGGGUCCCAAGAAUAUUCUGUUGGCUUAUGAACUUCUUCGAUUGUUUAUUUCUUUUUGCAGGUUGGAUUUGGAAAGAUCAGAUGUAGAAUCCCACAGCUGUUGGUGUGAUUUAAGAUUUCAAGAAAUGACCUGCUUUUGUCAUGAUCAACCAUGCCGAACUAUAUCGUGCUUCUUUUACUGGUUGAUUGAUGUUACAUUCACAUUGAAAUCUAUUGGAGCUUUGAGAUACAGUUUUGCCGGGUUGAUUUUCUCUUGUAUAAAAAUGAAGCAAUUGUCAUGGUUAGGUAAAGCUUCUAGAUAAGGUCAACUGAACCUGGAUGUUGCUGCAAUGAGUUACACCAUGUAGCGAUUGAGCAAUUGGCUGACUUACAGCUUAUUCCUAAGUUAAUGCUGAAUUACAAAUGAUUUCAACAGGUAAUUCUCCGUGAAACUAUUGGUUGUUCCGCCAUAUGUGUAGGUUCUUCAGUAACAUUUGUAUGUAUGCUUCAUUUAGUUUUUUCAUUUUCAUGUUCACAGUGAUGGUUCCAUAUUUCACUUAUUGCAGUUCUAUGCACUUUGACUGGUUUUCAGUCAUCUUGGUGUUGUGAGUUUUUGUCGUGUUAAUUGAUAUGAUUGCGGUUUUAAAAUGUACAAUUGUUGCUAAUAAGUUUAGCUCUUUUAAAGUGAACAAUUUGCUUUAGAGGAUAAGGUGGUCUCCUUUUCAACCAUAGAUAAAUAAAUCAACAAAUGAUAUUGUGUAUGCAUAACAAAUAAUGCUCAAUUAGGAAUAUCAAAAGUUGUGUUUUUUAUCUUCUCAAUAACGAUUGACAUGUCUUACUUUAUCCUCUAAAGCGAAAACCCACUUUAGAGGAGCCUAGUGAGAGAUGCCGGAUAACUUUAGGAUUUUUCCUUUCUCAAGAACAUGAGACAUUAUUUUGGUGAUUGUGAGUCACAUUUGAAGGUUUUCCCCUUUUCUUUUGGUCUUUUUUUUUCCCUCUCACUCUUCCCUCCCCUUCUUUCCCCGAUUUAACUUUUUCUGGUUAGGUUAAGCAAUGGAUAUGAUGAUCUUAUGAGCAGCUGCAAAAUGUCUUCACCAGAUGGUUCUGUGAAGUUUGUUUUUAGAAGUUCUUUGUAUUAUAUUUUCCCUAUUUUUUAGGGUUAAAUGUCCUAAUAUAAUCUGUUCUCUCUCCACAAACUGGUCUGGUCACUGACCGCAUCCCCGAUAAGUUGGACCUUAUAUUAGGGUAUUCGGCUUUGCAUAUAGUAUAUAAUAUAUGCAAAGCCCGAUAAGUGUUUGUUCUGCAUAUAGUAUAAUAAUAUAAUAAAAAUAAAAUAACAAGGUUA